rnacentral:tRNA from 1 species
UGCCCGAUAGUAUAAUGGUAGUACGUCAGAUUCUGGAUCUGAAUGUCGAGGUUCGAGCCCUUGUCGGGCAACCA